rnacentral:rRNA from 1 species
GUAGGGUGCAAGCGUUAAUCGGAAUUACUGGGCGUAAAGCGUGCGCAGGCGGGGUUUGUAAGUCUGUCGUGAAAGCCCCGGGGCUCAACCUGGGAAUUGCGAUGGAGACUGCAAGGCUUGAAUCUGGCAGAGGGGGUAGAAUUCCACGUGUAGCAGUGAAAUGCGUAGAGAUGUGGAGGAACACCGAUGGCGAAGGCAGCCCCCUGGGUCAAGAUUGACGCUCAUGCACGAAAGCGUGGGGAGCAAACAGGAUUAGAUACCCUGGUAGUCCACGCCCUAAACGAUGUCUACUAGUUGUCGGGUUUUAAUUAACUUGGUAACGCAGCUAACGCGUGAAGUAGACCGCCUGGGGAGUACGGUCGCAAGAUUA